ACCUCAUCCACCAGAUGACAGAAGAGAUUGUCAUCAUAGAGCAGACAUGGGAUGUCUGCAGCUAACUUCUCAAGAACGAGCAUCAUGAGGCCCCGGGAAAAUUCAAGCUGAAAGAAACAUGUAAGCAGGAGAGUAUCUCCAGCUCUAUAUCUGUUCCAGGGUGGAUGUGCCCUAAGCGCCAGAGAAAGUGGAAGGCCACAGCAGCUUCCUGACAAAGAAGGUAAGAGUGACAAGAUUUGCAACAGCUGCUGCGUCUCUUUCCACACCACCCUGGUGUGCUGAGAUACACUGUUUCCUCUGUAGUAUCUGUUUCCAUGUGCAGGCUAUUCCCUUUUGGUAACUCAUGGAAUUCUUCCAGCAGAAGGAUAGGAAACUCGGUAUAAUGGUAGCUGCGAGCGUGCCACUGUGGGGUCCCUAGACUCCCUGCUGCCCAACAUGCUUGACUCCACUCGGUCCACGGUGUGAAUUAUUCCGCAGACGGGGCUUAAUCUCCCUAGAUUUGAGUAGCACCUACAGAUUAAAAAAAAAAAAAAAAAAAAGAUAACAUAGAAGUGUAAGAGGAACAGCAAUUGAUUUCCAGAUGAAAGUAAGUGCUAUAAAAUAAGGCCCCAGAGAAAAAGCAGACUUCCUGGAAACCAAACCUUAGAAUAAACCUGAACAUGCGGUGCAUUUCUCUACCUCAGGUUUAACUAAAGGAUGUGGUCCUCCCUAAACAAACCAUUCACGGUGUUUGUUUGUAAACAAAUGAAAAGCUUGAUUGUACUAGUUUAUGUUUAGUUACAAAGACUACAGCAAUUUCUAAAAAGAACAAAAGAAAAAAGAAAAACAAAAAAAAGUGUGUGUGUGAGAGAGAAAGCUGGGGAAACAAUACGGGAGCCUCCUGGGGAGCAAUACUGGUUGAACUUUGCCUCUGUUCUUCCUGGAGCUGCCCUUGUAGAAGUUGGCUCUUCACCAAAAAUGAAGUUUUAAGAAAGCAGCAAUGAGAGAAGGCAAGAGGUUAGACAAGAGAUUAUAAUCAGCCUCAUUACGAAACAACUGUUACUUCUGAUCAAAUGAAAAUAUGAAAAGAGAGAGAGAGAGAUGCCUAAAUGCAAAAUGUAACUGUCAGAUUUUGCUCGUUUAGGAUUAAGAGAAUACAUACCAAUGUGUUUAGUACUGGGUUAUGUUCCUCCCCCAGCCCCCAAACCCAAAUUUUCCUUUGUUCUAUUCAACUUAUGAGUAUUCAAAGUAUGUCCAUGUGCUAUGAGAAGCAGUAGCCCACCAGUAACUAGGAGCAAAACUAGCAUAAAUCUAUGCCUUGACUUCCCACCUAUAAAUUGUACCAUGUGCCCAGCUGACACCUUAAGGUUAUACACGGCAUUAAAAUCCAUGUUUCCUGACCCUCAACCCAAGUUUCUUACUUUUUUUUCUCCUUCAAAUAUGAGAAUAGGCUGGUUUGCAUCAAACUUCAUUAAUACAGAAUCCAUCUACGGUUAUGGACAAGAGUCACAGUGUCCUCUUUUUCUAGUUUAAUCUUGAAUAAAACAAGUACGUUGUACAUUCCAUCUGCAGACACCUAGAGGCAGGGCUUUGUGGAGGGAAUAUUUUCCUGUAGCUUAGGGAGCAAAUUCUAUCUUCAUUUACUUUUACUUACUGUUUCUUUUAAUAAAAAAAUUUUUUUGCAGGGGUAACCUGCGUGGCUCAGUCAGUUGAGCCUUGGACUCUUCAUUUCACCUCAGGUCCUGAUCUCAUGGGUUGUGGGAUCGAGCCCCACAUCGGCCGUCUUGUGGAGCCUGCUUGAAAUACUUUCUCUCUUUCUCUCUCAAAAUAAAUACAUAAACAUUAAAAAAAAAUUUUUUUUUUUGCACCUACUUUUAAAUUCUAUUCUUUUGACAUCACCAUUUAAAUGCAAUAAGUACAUUCUUGGUCAAAUGACGUUCUUUAAGAUGACACACUGGUGAUUUGGGAGGUUUUUAUGACUCUCCUUUUCUGUUUCUUGUAAUAAGCACCCCUAAUUGCAAACAAGUUGACCAAGCCACCAAAGGAGGGAUAAGGACGAAGUCUAUAGUCUGUGUCUAUCAUUCUACUAAAUGACAUCUCAGUAGGCAUCAACUUCUCAGGCAUCUGAAUGGGCAAAGGUGGGAAAGGGAAGGGUUUAACUAAAAGAUAGAGGGUACUCUCCAAUCUUUUAAAAAAGGAGCUGAGCUAUGACCGUCAAGUGCUAUGGGCUACUUAGAGCUUUCCUUCCGAGGCAGAAUGUAUCCACAGGCAUGGUAAGGGCAAGCCUAAUUCCUGAAGGCAUUAUGGUAAUGUGGGCACCCUUCCUCCUACCACUACUCAUUCCUAGACUAUUUGCCAUGGUCAGAAGAACCAAAAACCCUCUGAUGGAAAAGCUGUUACAUGCCUUUCCCCUUCCUCCCCCAAUAAACUUCACUUCAAAAGCCACUGAAGAUUCCCUGAUUUCCAGAAGCCUGCCAUGCUUAGCUCAUUACAGUAAAAUGACAAAUGUCCACAUCCCUGACAUGUGCUCCUGUCCUCCAUAGGAAAUGGAGACGCUGACCUUUUCCCUCUUCCUUGUCCAGACCAAGAUUCAGGAAACAAGUUAUCCCUUGUACUUUUCUUCCCAGAUCAACUUUUACUGGCAAUUCACUGAAGGUAAAGUACCACUAAACAGUUACCAUUUUGACUCCAAUUAAGGCGGUAGUCAUCUCUCCUAGAUCAUUAAUUAGCCCCUCCAAAUUCCUGAUGCUUGAUAAGUUGUUGCUUCAUUAAGAUAACAUGCAGGGCCCAAUUAUUCUGAAUUGGUGCGGGGGGCAGACUCCAGUGAAACUACACCAGUCCCUGCACUAAGUCCGGGUCAGGAAGUAUAGCUUAUCUUCAAAUUAUCCCACAUUUUACAAUUUUAGAAAGAAAGAUAGGUGCAUGAUGAUAACCAGUACUUAAUACAAUGCAAGUAUAUUGUACCAAAAAAAAAAAAAAAAAAAAAAAAUGGAGAGAUUCAUCUUAAAGACAACAGGCUAGGACUCUUCUGCUCCGCAGACCCUGGAGGGCUGAGUUUAGGAGAGAUGGCUGGGUAAAGAAUGGUAAGGUGUUUCGAGUCUGCUUACUUUUCUCCUCGACGUCCUUCCUUUCGUUACCACUUUCAGAGCAGCACUAGAAGAACAGGUGUAACAAACACAUUAAGACUGGAGUGAUAGGUGGAACUCCUCAGGAUUCCCAGAGGGCGCGAGGUCCCAGACUCCCUCCCCUGGGGUCUUCCUGAGGGGUCAGGGCCAUCUGACGCAGGUGGCCCUGAGGACCACCACUGCCACCUCCCCAGAACCGCUGGAGUUACCUUGCCCAGCCUUCAGGGCAUGUCUCUACGUCCCUAGAGACAACUAUCUGUGUCAUCUCAUCAGGGUCGCCAGAGCCACCGCCCUGGGACCACCUUCUCUGGGAGGUCCGUGCCACCUCGCCAGAUUGGAAGGCCUGUCUCCCCGGGCCACGGAAAACACGUCCCCAGGCCGCCAGGGCCACCUCACCGACGCAAUCUCCUUUGGGAGAUCUGUGCCACCUCCCCGGGCUACCAGCGUCCCCUCCCCGGGCCACCAGGGCCGCCUCACCGGGGCUGCCGGCGCCUUGCCGAUCUCGGCGGCCGGGAGCAUCCCGUCUCCGCGCGAGUCCUCGGCUCCAUGAGCAGCCAGCGUGGCUUAUAGAGUUCCGCUGAGGCCAGCGGCCAGACACCGGCUCUCCCUGGGAGACCGUGGGGCUGGGCGCCACCUCUACUUCCCCUCGCCGUCUCUCUGAUUUCUUCCUCUCCUUCCAGAGAGGCCCUGCCCGCGCAGCCGCCAGCCAUGCGCGGUGGCGCCCUCUGCUGGCAGGGGGUCAGCACGGCCGUUCAGGAAGCGGGCGCCAGCCCCCCAGGCUCUCGGGAGAAAGGGGGGCGGGCCUUCUCAACCUCCGCCACACCUCCACCUCGCGGGGGUCCUUGCGGAUGGAGCUUGAAGGCUGAUCAGACCCAGCUAGAGAUGACCCUCCACUUUCCUGCCUGUAGGGUGCAGAUCUGGUUGUAAACGACUGGGAGCUGAAUAGCAGAAGAGGACUCAGCAUCAAAUAUGCACUUUACCCCGUGCAGAGGCCCAAAAAACGUGGCCUUUGACAAGAAGGAGGAACAUGAGGGAUCUGGAAGCAAGAGGAUGCUUCUGGAGGUUGUGCUCUACUAAAAUGAGGGACUAAACAAAGAAAAAAAGAAGAUAUAGGAUAUAGGAAACAGAAGAUAUAAUGCAGGAGAAAAAUGAUUUGAGAGGCCCUGACAACAAUUCUUCACCAGACAUGGAUUGGUACAGGUCCAGAAGGCCCAGAAGAGACUCCAUUUUCAGAUGAAACUGAUAGAACACCUCGUCUGUCUAAGUCUUGGGAAGCAGAGAUUGAAACAAUCGUUAAAAAGUUUGGGCUUGGCUUGGUGAUGGAUAGUAAACCAAAAUAAGAUAAUAACUGCAGGAAAAACAAAAAGCUGAGCAGGAGAAGAAAAGUGAUCAUAGUAUAUACUACUUGGCCCAAGAUGUAAGUAAUGUUUACCUAAUCAUAAUGAAGUAAACAGAAACCUAUUUAAAAAAGGACAAUAUAACUAGAUUGAGCAGAUCAAAGGAUGAAAAGUGUGGUGGCAGUGGGGAAAAGGAUAGGGAAAGAAAGAAGAAUUAAAUCCUCAUUUCCCACUGAGUGAAAUCAACAGAUAACGCCUAGAAGUGAGAAAUCGAGAAAUAGCAAUGCGAACAUUUUAUAUAGAGAAAUGAAAGUAAAUAUCAAAAUAACCAGUUAAAAGACAAGGAGGGGGAAAUUGGUAAGGGGGGGGGGGUACAGUCUCUGCUCUUUCAUUGCAAUUUAUAAGAUUUCUACAGAAUUAUUUGGCACUAAAUCAUAGACAUGCAUACUCUGAUAAAAAUUAAAAAUAACGUUAAAGGGAAAAAAAGAUUGCUCUAAACCCAGAUUUUUGCUUCUGGAGAAUUCACUUCUGGUAAAGGAAACAAAAAUGAAAAUAAAUUAAGAUUGAAUGCAGUAGGCUCAACAACGGAAAUGUUUGCAAUGACUGAGGGAGCACAGAAAACAAUUGACUACUAUCUGGGGAGUGUAAAGAGGCAAUCUUAGAUGGACAGAAUAGUAGGCAAUAAUAAGGAUGAAACAAGAGAUACAUUGUAUGUUUUGGGCCCUUACCAGUCCAUAGUGCUGGUGUGGAUUAAAAGCAGGAUCCCGAAUAUUAUACAUAACAUACAUGUUAGGAUGCAAUUUGAAAGUCAAGGAGAACAUUAAAUUGUUAAAUGAUUAUUAGAGGGAGUUGGAAUUUGGGACAGGCUUUGAACACUUCUGUAUUAUUUUAACUAUAAAAGCCAAUAAAGGGCUGUCAUUUUGAAAAACAGAAAACUAAAAAUGCAUGUUUCACUUGGACCUUGUCUGAGGCGGUUCAGGAUAAAAUGCAGUAAGUUUUGAUCAUGGAUCUAGCUAGCUAACAGCCAAAGGAAUGUGAAUGUUCUUUCCUUCCAUAUGCAUUUAUGAGGCGUUCGGCCUCAGAGAAGAUAAUUUUAAAGUAUACAAAAAUUUAAAGUUUAGGGUUGAAUUUUUACUGUGUCUGUGGUAAACAUAUGUGCAGUUGCUGUCAUUGGGACAUUAACCUAUGAAUUAGCCAUAGCCCAGGACAUGUGAUUAUACAUGGAUUAGGGACAGAACACUGUCCUCAACUGAGGUGACUGAUCUCAGAGAAAGACAGUAUAGAAUCCUACCAGUCUGAGUGAAUUAUCCAUACUGAGUAUGGAUAAUGUAAACCCAGAUUUUAAAAACAAGUCUACCACUACUAUAGGAAACAAAGUGGGGUUGUUCAAAAAAUUGAAAAUAGAAUUAAUAUACAACAAUACCACUUCUGGGUAUAUACCCCAAGAAAUUGAAAGCAAGGUCUCAAAUAGAUAUUGGAGCACCCGUGUUCAUAGCAGCAUUAUUCACAAUAGCCCAAAGGCCGAAGCAACUCAACUGAUAAUAGGGGAACAAAACGUGCUAUAUAUAUAUGUAAUGGAAUAUUAUUCAGCCUUAGAUAGGAAGGAAAUUCUGCCACAUGCUGCAACACGUGUUGCAUCCUUAAUGGAUGAACAUUAAGGAAAUAAGGCAGUCACAAAGGGACAUAUGGCUAUAUGAUUCCACUUAUAGGAGUUACCUACAACUGUAAAAUUCACAGAGAGAAGAGUAGAAUAGUGGUUCCCAGGGCUAGGAGGUGGGGAGACUGGGAAUUUGCUACUUCCUGGAUAGAGUUUCAGCUUUGCAAGGUGAAAGCCUUCUGGAGAUGGAUGUUGGUGAUGGCUGUACAACAUUGUGAAUGUACUUAAUGCCACUGAAUGUACACUUCAAAAUAAUUAAAGUGAUAAAUUUUAUGUUGCAUGUACUUUACCACAGUUUAAAAAAACCAAGUCUAAUAGAAAUUAAAGGACUUGAAAUAAUA